GACGAACGCUGGCGGCGUGCUUAACACAUGCAAGUCGAACGGAAAGGCCCUGCUUGCAGGGUACUCGAGUGGCGAACGGGUGAGUAACACGUGGGUGAUCUGCCCUGCACUUCGGGAUAAGCCUGGGAAACUGGGUCUAAUACCGGAUAGGAGCCAUUUUUAGUGUGAUGGUUGGAAAGUUUUUUCGGUGUAGGAUGAGCUCGCGGCCUAUCAGCUUGUUGGUGGGGUAAUGGCCUACCAAGGCGGCGACGGGUAGCCGGCCUGAGAGGGUGGACGGCCACAUUGGGAAUGAGAUACGGCCCAGACUCCUACGGGAGGCAGCAGUGGGGAAUAUUGCACAAUGGGCGCAAGCCUGAUGCAGCGACGCCGCGUGGGGGAUGAAGGCCUUCGGGUUGGAAACUCCUUUCGCUAGGGACGAAGCUUUUUGUGACGGUACCUAGAUAAGAAGCACCGGCUAACUACGUG
rnacentral:rRNA from 1 species